AGACCAACCAUUUUCACCGUUUUUCCUUUCUUUCUUGCUCUUUCCUUUCUUUCUUCUCUUCUUUUAAAGUAUCUUUCACUAGAGAGAUUUGAUUGUUGCCAUGGACACAAACUAUAUACACAAUUGUUCAACUGCAUACUACCAUUUUUUUCUCCUUUCUUUCUUGUCGCCUCCCUCCAGCUUUAGCAAACACUCAAAACAAAUCGUUUGUGUUUCUGAGUUAGUCCCAUAAUCACUCUCAAACAUGAAAGACAUCAAUUGAACAUAAUCGACAGGUUGAAGGUUCGGUCACUUCGAGCUUUGCAAAUCAAUUAAUGAUCACUCCCACUCUUGUAACUAGGAGCAAGAAGAUGAUUAUGCAUGAUUGAUGAUUUUCACUUGACCCCGCAUCAUAAUUGAGAGGUAAUUUUCAAUACCAACAAACACAAACCUAAAAGUCCAUACACUAAAUUUGUACUUUGAACCUUUGAUUUUUGUAGUGUUUCAUAUUUUGGAGUGAUGCAAUCAAAAGCUAUUCUUAAACCAUGAAUAUAAUGUGUAAUAAGACAUAAGUCUGAGUGUGCACUAAUAUAUUUUAAAUUGUUUAAUCUCAA